GGGGAUUUAGCUUAGUGGUAGAGCGCUUGCCUAGCAAGCGCAAGGCCCUGGGUUCAGUCCCCAGCUCCCCCC
rnacentral:tRNA from 1 species